GGGGCGAAAGCCGGGGUAGCAAAAGGGAUUAGAUACGGCUGUAGUCCCGGCCGUAAACGAUGCAAGCUAGGUGUCGCGUGGGCUUAGCGCCCACGCGGUGCCGCAGGGAAACCGGUAAGCUUGCCGCCUGGGGAGUACGGCCGCAAGCUGAAACUUAAAAGGAAUUGGCGGGGGAGCACCACAAGGGGUGGAACCUGCGGCUCGCUUGGAGUCAACGCCU
rnacentral:rRNA from 1 species